UGUAGGUCUUACUUCCUUUUUCCUCCUGGCCUUGGGUCUCCAUUCCCCCUGCUUUCUUUCCCCCAGAAGUCCCCACAUCGAUUGCUACUAUUCUCAGCCUCUGAAGCCCUCAUUUUUCCUUUCUUCGGUCUCUUCUAUCAUCAGUCUCUAUGCACAGACUGAUGCUAUACUUUUCUUUUUCCAAUCAAAUUGCCCACCCAGCAAGUGGCUGAUGAGGGCCCCUGAGAGUCAGCCCCUAGGUGAGGCUGCUGUGGUGAUGAAAGCUGAGCUCCUGACUUUUCAGGACAGCCUUUCACAGGGCGAGCGCCUGGUGAAACCCUCCUAAACUUCCUUCCUCUUCCCUCAGCCCCUCACCAGUUGUUAGUAAAAUAGAUUUUUACCAUUUUCAAUGCUUAAAUUUUUUUUAAAUGCAAUAAAUUAUUAUUUUCUUCCCUGGGAAACAGUUCUUACAAAUAUCUUUUGACUGUAUUUUGUUUCAUAAACAAGGGCGUUGCUUUAGGUUUGUGUGUUCGUGCAUGUGAUUCUGUGUGUCUGUGUAUCUGUGUUUGUAAAUGUUUGUAUGUAUUUGUGUAUGUUGUGUGUUUGCACGUUUGUGUAUAUGUAAAAGGCUGAGUUAAACAAUUAUUUGGUGAUUGUCAGAAAUAACUUACAUAUUAAAGAUAUAAAAAGAUCAAAAACUUUUUAAGGCUUUAUAUUUUUCUAAAAUUUUCUUUUGCCUCCUGCGAAGGCUACCUUUUCCCUUCAGAAAUCUAUCCAAUGAGGGGCAACACUGAAAUGCACCUUGUUUUUUGGCCGCACCGCACAGCUUGCGGGAUCUUAGUUCCCUGACCAGGGGUUGAACCUGGGCCCCAGCAGUGAAAGCACCGAGUCUUAACCACUGGACCGCCAGGAAAUUCCCAGAAUGCAUCUUUUUUAAAAGGGGAUGUUUGGUUUCUCUCUUGCCCCAUAGCACAACACUGACAAGAUGUAUUUUAUGAAUGAUGUGGAGAAUGGAACUUACGGCCGUCUUGCUUCUCAGAGUUUUAGGGGGGACAAAAGGAUCCCAUCCAAAGGAAUUGGGAAAAAGUAGUUGUAAAAAGUAUACAAGAAAAAAAAAAGUGUCCAAGAAAUGAGAGAUCCUAUCAAGUCUGCUAGUAGAUACUUGGCAGCUUCUUUUCAAGGAUUCUCAGCUCCUGGCAUCUUCCUCUGCCCAGGCUGAGCCUCCUGUUGGCUACCUUGAACUCAACCUGACCCCAUCUGCCUCUCACUCUGAUCUGAGGAUCUCUUGCAUUUUCUGGCCUGAUUGAGAUGAUUUUAUUUAGCAUUUAAUCACUCUUCUGCAAUAGCCACCCUCCUUCUCCACUUUCUUACAUCCUAAAACACACCCUUGCUUCCUUAAUAUGUGCAUUCACGCCUUCUUUCUCAUUUAUCCAUUCAUCAAAAUGCAGGGCCUGUCAACUAUUUCUGGGCAUUAUGCUAAGAAGUGAAGCAAAAAUAAAAAAACAAGAUGCAGUCUUGGCUCUGAACCAAGAAGAGUGCCUGUGAGGGAGUAAUUACAAUAUUAUAUGGUAAAUCAGGUAACAGAGAUCCCCAAGUGUCGGCAUGUGGCCACCCAGCAGGAGUCUACAUUGUCCAGCCUCUUUUGCCGUCAGAUGUGGCCAUGUGCCUAAGUUCUGGCCAGUGCAGUGUGAGCAGCCAUGGUGUGUGCCACUUCUGGGUCCUGCUCCUGAAGGAAUGAUUCCAACAUGGAUUUGACCAGACAGGAAGGAAGAAGACCUGAGAUCUGGCCCUGCUGAGUCAGAUUCUCCUGGCUCAGCUCCAUGGUUUUGUCUGAAGUAUAUGCCUAGGGUGGCAGAUAAUCUUGCCCCACUAAGAACCUGCCAUGACAUCUUCAGCCAACAUUCUCUUCUCUUCAUUCUCUCCUUAUGUGGCUAUUUGUAUCUGUACAACGUAGACAACAUAUUUUUGGUGUGUAUUUUAUUGUGUAACCACAAUAUAUUUUGACAUUUUA